rnacentral:rRNA from 1 species
UACAGAGGUCCCAAGCGUUGUUCGGAUUCACUGGGCGUAAAGGGCGCGUAGGCGGCCAACUAAGUCAGACGUGAAAUCCCUCGGCUUAACCGGGGAACUGCGUCUGAUACUGGAUGGCUUGAGUUUGGGAGAGGGAUGCGGAAUUCCAGGUGUAGCGGUGAAAUGCGUAGAUAUCUGGAGGAACACCGGUGGCGAAGGCGGCAUCCUGGACCAACACUGACGCUGAGUGAGCGAAAGCCAGGGGAGCAAACGGG